CUUGCUGACAGAAUCAUGCCACUCGUUGUUUAUGAAGAUCUACAAUGAGAAGGAAGAAAGUCCUCAGGAUCAGCUCUCAACCUGAAACUGACCACCAGCCAUGUUUAAAAAAAAAAAUCAGAAAGAACAAAUAGGAAUUAGCUUCAGAGGGAUGUGGCCUAGAAGUUAAAAGCACAGGCCUUGGAGACAAUCCAAGCUGGAGCACCCACUCUGCCAAGUACUGUGGAUCGAAACAGGGGCCCCCUGCAGUGGAAGCGUGGAGUCUUAACCACUGGACCAGCAGCACUUUACCCAAACUCAAAGAUCAAAAGAGAAAAUAUUCCCAAGUCCUGAAUGAGCAAGAAAUCAGCUACUGGGAGUCAACGUUAUCCUGGAAAGUCCCUCCUUUCUUUGACCAAAGAAAGAGCCUUGGAAGGCACAGACACCAUUUGGGGAUUGCGCUGUUGUAGCGAAGGUCUCCACCCUUUCCCAGUUGCCAGCAGUGGAAGUGCCAGGACGCCGAGCGGCCGGGGCCGUGGCCUUGGCCUCUCGGCGAACUGGUGACCCUUAGCUGAAAAGGACUCCUUUUUUUUUUUUUUGGACCUUCCUUUUUCCUUUUGGACGUUCUUGGACGAGGGCAUGAGUCAAGGGAUAAAAGACUACGAAAAGAAAACUGUUCCUGCAAAGAGGGUCUUAAAUGGACAUGUCCUCUGGGUGGGUGAUGUCGUGAAGACUCUGCGCAGACACAGGACGACUAAGGCCCGAAAGCCGAGAACGACUGGGGAUGGGGGAGGGG